GACGAACCGGACAAACGUUAUUCGGACUUAUUGGGCUUAAAGGGUGCGUAGGCGGUGCGAUAAGUUGGGUGUGAAAGCCCUCGGCUCAACCGAGGAACUGCGCCCAAUACUGCCGUGCUAGAGGGAGACAGAGGUAAGCGGAACUGAUGGUGGAGCGGUGAAAUGCGUUGAUAUCAUCAGGAACACCGGUGGCGAAAGCGGCUUACUGGGUCUCUUCUGACGCUGAGGCACGAAAGCUAGGGUAGCGAACGGGAUUAGAUACCCCGGUAGUCCUAGCCGUAAACUCUGAGCACUUGGUUGGGGACCUUCCCAUAAGUUCCUGGCCGAAGCGAAAGUGAUAAGUGCUCCGCCUGGGGAGUAUGGUCGCAAGGCUGAA
rnacentral:rRNA from 1 species